GUGGGGAAUAUUGGACAAUGGGCGAAAGCCUGAUCCAGCCAUGCCGCGUGUGUGAAGAAGGUCUUCGGAUUGUAAAGCACUUUAAGUUGGGAGGAAGGGCAGUAAGUUAAUACCUUGCUGUUUUGACGUUACCGACAGAAUAAGCACCGGCUAACUUCGUGCCAGCAGCCGCGGUAAUACGAAGGGUGCAAGCGUUAAUCGGAAUUACUGGGCGUAAAGCGCGCGUAGGUGGUUUUGUAAGUUGGAGGUGAAAUCACCGGGCUCAACCUGGGAACUGCCUCCAAAACUGCAUGACUAGAGUACGGUAGAGGGUAGUGGAAUUUCCUGUGUAGCGGUGAAAUGCGUAGAUAUAGGAAGGAACACCAGUGGCGAAGGCGACUACCUGGACUGAUACUGACACUGAGGUGCGAAAGCGUGGGGAGCAAACAGGAUUAGAAACCCUGGUAGUCC
rnacentral:rRNA from 1 species